UCCGUAGGUGANACCUGCGGAAGGAUCAUUAUCGAAUUCGUUCGCUUCAUGCGAGCAAGUUUGAAAAAACCUCGGGCAUUUUGCCUCGGGUCGGCGGCUCGCCUGCCGCCGACUUUGACGUCCGUCGGGUGCGACCGAGGCCGCCAGGUCUCUCGCAACAGCCCGCGGGCGGCCUCCUGGCGGGUGCGACUGACGCUUAAAGCUCUUCGCCCGUUUCAGGAGGUUUCCUGUUGCUCUCCCGUGAGGAGCUCUGCAACCGUCGAUUGAACUUCGGCCGAUUGUGGUCAACUACCUAUUGAAAAUACUGAGCAGUGGAUCACUUGGCUCGGGGGUCGAUGAAGAACGCAGCAAACUGCGCGUCGGAAUGUGAACUGCAGGACAUAUGAGCAUCGACACUUUGAACGCAUAUUGCGGGCUGUGAUUUGUUCACCGCCCAUGUCUGGCUCAGGGUCGGUUUGUCAUCCAUCCAGCUUCUUGCUGGCAUUGGGCAUCUCCCUCUCUCACGAGAGGGUGGCCUCAAGUUUGACUGUGCGAGACUGCGCACGGAGUGCUGACUCUCGGGUUGUUCUUCAGCCUGGGUUGGCGUUAAGCUCCUGCGUUUGCUCGUGCUCGAGACCGGGGGAACUUUUGUUUUCCCCGUCUCCCUUUAUUCACGACCUGAGAGCAGGCAAGGUUACCCGCCAAAUUUAAGCAUAUCAAUAAGCGGAUGAA
rnacentral:rRNA from 1 species